rnacentral:rRNA from 1 species
CGGCACGCCUAACACAUGCAAGUCGAACGAAGUAGCAAUACUUAGUGGCAGACGGGUGAGUAACAUGUGGGUAUCUACCCUUUGGCCUGGAAUAACACGAGGAAACUUGUGCUAAUACCGGAUAAGUCUUUACGGAGAAAGCUUUAUGCACCAUUGGAUGAGCCCGCACUUGAUUAGUUUGUUGGUAGGGUAAUGGCCUACCAAGACUAUGAUCAAUAGCUGAUUUGAGAGGAUGAUCAGCCACAUUGGGACUGAGACACGGCCCAAACUCCUACGGGAGGCAGCAGUGGGGAAUCUUGCACAAUGGAGGAAACUCUGAUGCAGCGAUGCCGCGUGAGUGAAGAAGGCCUUUGGGUUGUAAAGCUCUUUCGUCGGGGAAGAAAAUGACUGUACCCGAAUAAGAAGGUCCGG